AACGCGAAGAACCUUACCGGGGUUUGAACAGUACGGGACAGCUACAGAGAUGUAGUUUUCCUUCGGGACCCGUAUAGAGGUGCUGCAUGGCUGUCGUCAGCUCGUGUCGUGAGAUGUUGGGUUAAGUCCCGCAACGAGCGCAACCCUUGCCUCCUGUUGCCAACAGGUAAAGCUGGGCACUCUGGAGAGACUGCCGGUAGAACGUAACGGAGGAGGG
rnacentral:rRNA from 1 species